UUUGUCAUACAGCCUGCAUCAUGAAACAUGGCGUUGUUGCUAACUUGCUAUUUACUUAUUUUUCUGUGAAUUCUCAAUUGAACUUCGUUUGUAAAGUCAGUCCGUCAUUCCAACAAGUUGACUUAGUGCUAAAGUUGCUUUCCAUCCAUUAGAUCCUUAUGAGUGUCAAAAGCCUGAAACUCAUAUUUGAAGCUUACAUACAGUGGAAUUAGACAAAAGUUCUUGUGCAUGGACCGUGGAUCUUUUCUGAAUCUUGCAAGUGUAACCUGUGUCAGAAUGUUUGUCGAGUGUACAACUGUUUCUACAGCCGCUCAGAAGGCAACCCAGAUGAGAGAUAGUUCCAGUUUCAGUGAAUGUACAUGAAGAGUGUGAGUUCAUUUAGUACAUUUCCAGAUCUGCUUGAUGAAAGUCAAAUGCCUUACUGAAUUCGUCACCCAAAUGAUAAAGAACUAUUUAUGACGUCCUCUGAGAUCGCGAGUCGGCCGCCAGUUUCAAUCUACAACGCAGUUUCUUCAUGGAAUCGUGAGUCCUGAGCCAACGCUGGUUUUUGUCCAUGACAGAAGAAGGACUUCUACCAACGUUCGGUUCCUUAUCUUCACCACGUACGCUGCUUCUUGUGCUUCAUUGGCGAAUUAAAUCACUUCAGUGUUCGCUUCCGCCCGCUGUGACACACCUGUCAUCAUUCACCACCGGAUUAUGCCCAGGUAAUGCAGAGGAGACGUCGAGAAGAUGGAUUUUCCCAUCUUUAACAAUCGUCACCGGUCUCCGUCGGACGUUGCCCCUGCUCCUGGUGCGAACGAAACUCGGUGAAAUCGCGACCGACACCGAGACUCGUCAUCAACGUGGAUCAUCGUAUUGUUGGUAUUAUUGUGUUAGUGUUAGUUAACCCGUUGGCUGCCA
rnacentral:lncRNA from 1 species